GGUUCAAUGGUCUAGUGGUAUGAUUCCUGCUUUGGGUUAUUCGUUAUUCAAUCUGCAGGAGGCCCCGGGUUCAAAUCCCGGUUGAACCC
rnacentral:tRNA from 1 species